CACGUAAUGAUAAAAUCGUCAACAUCCGAUUCAUGGCUUUUUGCAAUUAUUUUCCAAGAGAUCACAGCCAUGACUCCAUUGAGAGGUGGGAUGAGACUUCGGGCCCUGACGAUAUAUCGGAAGCGUCCCAGGAGAUAAGAGGAUUCUUCAGACUUAUCAGACGGCCCUGAUGAAUUGUUUGACAUCAAACAGAUGUAGAAUACAUUGACGAAGAAGAAGAAGAGUUACCUGAAACUACACAACCUGUAAGAGGAAAAGCAUCUUCAAAGUCACUGCUGCCAGAGAAACAGUCACCUCAUGGGGAAACAUUUUUAAUUGCACUAUUGGGCCCAAUCUAAGUGUCUAACCACAGAAACACAGGUUAGAAUGGUCUCAUUUGAAAUUUUAGCUCAUCUAUGCCUUUACUAGGGAGAUUUAAGCUGUGCUUCAAAUAUAGUUUUUUCAUGCUGACAAGAAGUGAGUAAACAAUACAUACAGGGCUUGACAUUAUGGCUUGUCCGCUUCUCCGGGACAAUUAAAAAAAAACUGUCCGACAACCAGAAUAUGGAUUUCAGUUGUCCGAAUGGACAAGUUUAAAAAAAUCACAAUAUCAAACCCUCUUAAUGCUUUUAAUUCUGAUCCGAAUUGGAAAAGGCAGCACACAUCAGGCAGUGCAUGUUUUUGUGUGUUUCCCCCCCACCUUUAUUUAACCAGGUAGGCUAGUUGAGAACAAGUUCUCAUUGACAACUGCGACCUGGCCAAGAUAAAGCAAAGCAGUGCGACAAAAACAACAACAAAGAGUUACACAUAAACAAACGUGCAGUCAAUAACACAAAAGAAAAUAAAAAUAGAAAAAAUUAUAUACAGUGUGUGCAAAUGUAGAAGAGUAGGGAGGUAGGCAAUAAAUAGGCCCUAGAGGCGAAAAUAUUUACAAUUUAGCAUUAAUACUGGAGUGAUAGAUGAUGAUGUGCAAGUAGAGAUGCUGGGGUGCAAAAGAGCAAGAGGGUAAGUAAUAAUAUGGGGAUGAGGUAACUCUGUGUGCUAUUUACAGAUUGGCUGUGUACAGGUACAGUGAUCGGUAAGCUGCUCUGACAUUCUUACUAAAUUGCUUAUAUUCCUAUUUGCUAUAGCCUAUUUCAAUAAAUAUGUUAUAUUUACACAAGGCAAGAGAACGAUGUAGAUACUAAGAGUCUCACCAAAGCAGCGCAGAAUAUCCGGUCAGAAAAUAUAUAUAUAUAUAUUUUUCGCUCUCUAGAAUGUUGGAUGAUCUCGGCCAAUAGCCAAAAUCAAUUUUUAUAGCGGACACUCUGGUGUUUCAUUGUUAUAUAAGCCCACAUUUUAUAUUUUCUCUCCAUUUUAUAUGAAUAUGACUUGGCCUGUUAAGCCACUCUUUCAGUUUAAGGCAUUCUAGACUUUUCCUGCCGCGCUAGUUCAUGAUCAAACAAGUUUGAAGUUGUUUUUGAAUAACCCAAAAACAUGGGAGCCCUAAGGUAA